rnacentral:rRNA from 1 species
GAUGAACGCUAGCGACAGGCUUAACACAUGCAAGUCGAGGGGCAGCAUAGAAGUAGCAAUACUUUGGUGGCGACCGGCGCACGGGUGAGUAACGCGUAUGCAACCUACCUAUCAGAGGGGAAUAACCCGGCGAAAGUCGGACUAAUACCGCAUAAAACAGGGGCACCGCAUGGUGAUAUUUGUUAAAGAAAUUCGCUGAUAGAUGGGCAUGCGUUCCAUUAGGUAGUUGGUGAGGUAACGGCUCACCAAGCCGACGAUGGAUAGGGGAACUGAGAGGUUGGUCCCCCANACUGGUACUGAGACACGGACCAGACUCCUACGGGAGGCAGCAGUGAGGAAUAUUGGUCAAUGGGCGGGAGCCUGAACCAGCCAAGUCGCGUGAAGGAAGAAGGAUCUAUGGUUCGUAAACUUCUUUUGCAGGGGAAUAAAGUGCAGGACGUGUCCUGUUUUGUAUGUACCCUGAGAAUAAGGAUCGGCUAACUCCGUGCCAGCAGCCGCGGUAA